rnacentral:lncRNA from 1 species
UCUCCUUUCUUUGCCCCAGCUAUCUAAGGGCUUGGGUCUUUUGGCCCAGCCUAAACAGAGGGGGUAUUUAAGCCCUAUUCCCUUCUCUCCCCUUUCUCUCUCUCUCUCUAAUUCCUUUCUUCCUCCUGUUUGUAAUUAAACUCUAUAAAAGGCUGACGGCUGACUUGAGUUUUCAUUUAGGAAUUACAUAGCUGAAUUCCUUGGUGACCUUAAAUUAAUAUAUAUCAGUCUUUUAAAGUGAUUUCCUUGUCACAUUGGAGAGGUGGUGCUUUGAGAGUCGGCUCUGAAGGAAGCUGGAGGUGGAGGCCCCGGAGACUGUUUCUCCAUUUUGGUCACGUGAGUAAUAGGGACUGAUCUCCUUUCUUUGCCCCAGCUAUCUAAGGGCUUGGGUCUUUUGGCCCAGCCUAAACAGAGGGGGUAUUUAAGCCCUAUUCCCUUCUCUCCCCUUUCUCUCUCUCUCUCUAAUUCCUUUCUUCCUCCUGUUUGUAAUUAAACUCUAUAAAAGGCUGACGGCUGACUUGAGUUUUCAUUUAGGAAUUACAUAGCUGAAUUCCUUGGCGACCUUAAAUUAAUAUAUAUCAGUCUUUUAAAGUGAUUUCCUUGUCACAAUAUGGACCCGUUGUGGCAGAGUAUAUAAAGGCAGAUCUAGGACUUUGGAGGAGACCAUUUGAGAACCCAGGGAACUUCUUUGAAAACUAUUUUUUUAUAUUCUAUGAGUAGCUAUGUGGGACAGUAGAUAGAAUGGUGGGCCUGGAGUCAGGAAGACCUAAUUUCAAAUGUGACCUCAGAUGCUUACUAACCAUUUGACCCUGAGCAAGUAGUCUAACCCUAUUUGCCCCAGUUUUUUUUUUUUUUUUUUUUUAAUUGCAUGCCCAAUUCACUGUCUGCUCUUUCUCUAUUUUACUGAUGCAAUCAUUUUUAGAGACAUAAAUUUUCCUCUAACUACUGCUUUAGCUGCACCCUGCAAAUUUUGGUAUGUUGUCUCAUUGUUGUCAGUAUCUUUAAUGAAAUUGUUAACUGGAACUGGUUUCCCCCUGCCUAUCUUAAUAUCUUUAUUGUAGGACAGAGGUGAAGGGAUAUGUAUAUUCAGAAAUAAUGUAAUAUAAAAACCAAAGGCAGUAUUAAAAUCCCAUUCAAGUUCAAGUUAUGAAAAUUAUUUUAAGGUAAAAAUUUAUUUGUCAAGAAAAUAUACAAAUAGCAUUAAAUAUAAUACAAAGAACCACUAAUUCACACAUUCAGCACACUUCCUAAGUUUCCACCAUACUCCUAAGCAUUUAGCCAAGCUAAUCAGGUUAUUAUUACUCCCUCAACAGGUUCUUACCAUGACUUGAGGAUAAUUUAAAUUCCAUAUGCCUUAAGACAUUUCUCAGACGCCCUUCUCUCCCCU